AAGUCGUAACAAGGUUUCCGUAGGUGAACCUGCGGAAGGAUCAUUACAACGUAUCCACGUACAAACCAGUGAACUGUUCCCAACGGAAUGAGAUACAAAAGCAAUUUUGUAUUCGAGGUUGAUGGCAUGUCUGGUUCCUGCUGAUGGAGUUUCUGGGCUUUUGCCUCGAAACUAGGGCCUGACAUACCGCGAAAGCUUAUGGCUUUCGGACCUCAAGCUCUUCCGUUUGGUUGAUUACCGUCAGCAUGUAAAACCCUUUAUUAACCCUAUGUACCAUUUGAUCUGAUCUAUUCUGUCUGAAAACGCGUUCUUGUUGGCUUUAAGUCACGGACCGCGGCUCAGCAGGAGUUUGAUACGAAACAAAGAACAACUCUUAACAACGGAUAUCUUGGUUCCC
rnacentral:misc_RNA from 1 species